rnacentral:rRNA from 1 species
AUUGAACGCUGGCGGCAGGCUUAACACAUGCAAGUCGAGCGAGCGGCGGACGGGUGAGUAAUGUCUGGGAAACUGCCUGAUGGAGGGGGAUAACUACUGGAAACGGUAGCUAAUACCGCAUACCAUCAGAUGUGCCCAGAUGGGAUUAGCUAGGCGGUGGGGUAAUGGCUCACAUAGGCGACGAUCCCUAGCCGGUCUGAGAGGAUGACCGGCCAAACUGGAACUGAGACACGGUCCAGACUCCGACGGGAGGCAGCAGUGGGGAAUAUUGCACAAUGGGCGAAAGCCUGAUGCAGCCAGGCCGCGUGAGUGAAGAAGGCCUUCGGGUUGUAAAGCACUUUCAGCGGGGAGGCGUUACUCGCAGAGGAAGCACCGGCUAACUCCGUGCCAGCCGCCGCGGUAAUAC